UCACACAACCUUUGUUGACUUGAAGGCGCAAGACUGCAAAGAACAGUUAGUGGGCCCAACGUGGAAAGUGGAAACCCACUAUAAAUAAACCUAAAAAGAAAAUACCCGUUUUAAGCACAGCCAUAAACGGGCGGGUUAUUUGACGAUUACCGACAUUGAUACCGGAAGUAGGUGACCUACAUACGUGUCAGAAUCCUAGUCGUCUGUUAGCCUUUAUAAAUAACCCCAUCACCCUUUUCUCCAAAUCUUUCUGAGGUGGUAGGAGGAGUAGGAGUUGUUAGAUUAGAUUAGCUGAAAAUAGGUAUAGCUUCAGGAAAUUUAAAGCACAUAACGAAACAAGCAAAAAUAAAAAAAUACUAUAAAUAGAUUCUCUCUCUUCUCUCCUCUCAUUCACAAAUUUAGAGAGAGAAAAUAUAUAGAGAGAGGAAAUCGAGGUUUUUUCACAGAGAAAAAUAGCGGCGAGGUUUUGUUGUUGCCGUAGUCUCUGAUUCGCUUGGUGCAGGUCGGGAACUGGUGAUUUUUUUUGGUUGUUAAAAAAUCUUCCGCCGCCUUAGCAGCAGCCGUAAUCGGCGGAGAGAUUGAUUCGUUCUGUCUGCUCAGCUGGUGGUAUUCCGGAUCCCGCCUUGCAUCAACUGAAUCUGAGCCUGCGGUGAACUUACUCCAGUUCUCAUCGGAUCGGACGACUUUUUACUUUUGUGUUUGUUGAUUUGAAGCUCGCAUUUUUCAAUUUCUUUAUUAUUGAUUAUUAUUUUAUUGAUUAUUGUUAAAAUUCGUGCUGUUGUUUUUGAUAGCUGGUUGAUUGAGAUGACUGAUGAGAUCUUUAAAUAAUAAAUAGAUUUAUUUGUUUAUACGAGUUUUUGAGAUUUGAAUUUGUUAGUAAUUUGAAUUGCAAAUAAUGCCAAUUCUAUAUUCAGUUGUCUGCGGUGAAGUUUUCGGUUGGUUAGAAUUAGUUUUCAGUUAAAUUGAUUGGAAUUUUUUAAUUGGGAUUUGGUAUGUUGUUGGACUUGUUUUACAAUAUGAUUAGUGUUUUUUGAUGUAGGAGUUGACACCUGAUUGAUGAUUAUAUUUUGAUAAACAAUGAUUUUGAUGUUCCAUGUGCUGUAAUAUUGAUAAAAGUCAAUCUUGCCAUCGGCUAGACCUUCGCUGCAGCAUUGUUCGACAUCUCUUGUUCUUUUUGUUAAAUGAAUCGUGUUAUCAUUGAUAUGUUUGAGUUCAUUUGAAGGUUGGUUCCCAAACCUUCACCUCUGUGGAUGAUAGGGGUUUUGAAGUAUAAAAGUAAAGGUCUUUUGUUCUGUAAGUUGAGGUGAAGAGAUGUGAAUUUUUGGGAUGGUUCAUUGUAAGUUAUGUGUUCUUCAGCUAGUUUCGGGUGAUCUUGAGUAGGGUUUUGUUGAUUAUAUUGCUUGUUUGGCUUAAUAUUGAAGUAUCCAUGAUGGCUUAAUCUUAAUAACCUAGUAUCUAUAUUUUUAAUCCAAGAUUUGAUUGUUGUUGUAGUAGUGAAAUUUUGAUGGUGCACCAUAUGAAGUUGCUAGAAGCACAUUGUAGUUUUUGUAAGUUGUGUCGAUAGAAGCUAUGUUGUCUUCCAUGAUGGAAAACAACCGAUAUACGGUGUCUAUAAUUUCAACUUUAUGGGCUACAUUGAAGUGCAUAUGAAUUGAUGAUCUUUCCAUAAAAGUGGUUAUUUGAACAAUAUAUUUAAUGUUUGUUGCGUUAUCUAGUUGUUUAUGUUUAGAGAGAUGAUUCUGUGAUGAAUUUUCUGCAUUAUCAAAUAUGGUUUUCAGCUGUGCUUUGAGCGUGAUGCAUAUGGUCCCUGUUUGAUGCAUUUGCAGAAUAAUAUAAUUUUGAACUCAAUAGUCUUAAAGCGUAAUAUGCAAUAUUUUACGAGUAGUAUAUUGUAGUUUCUUGUAGUUUUUGGCUUGCCAGAUCAUACAUAUAAUACAAAAGAUAAUCAGCUUAAUUUUGCCAGAAAUGUAAUAUUGAGUGACUGGCUGUUGAAUUGAUGUACAAAAGAUGGAUGGCUUUUUGUUCUGUGGGCUGCACCUCGUGAAUGUUUUGGGAUGGAAAUCUAUGUUGCUGUUAUCUGUUUGUUGCUUCUCUGAUUAGUAAAUGUGUUGCAGAAGUUCUUGCUGCACCAGGUAAAUAUUCAUCUGCACAUUUUGAAUUAACAAGUGUUCAGCGUUUCAUUGUGGAAUCCAUUGCUCUCUGUGUGAAAUGUAACCAGAUUUGACCCUCUAACUAUGCAUCCACCUAUGUACACUGGAAAUUGGAAGAGAAAACAUGCAUGACUAAUCUAUCUUGUCCAUGAGCUGCCUGUUCAAAUUUUUUCUAUUGAACCCAUAUUUGCUUCAGACUGAAAGAUCUUUCGGUACAUUUCAAUGCAAGGUAUAUUUUAAAUUUUGAUUAUUGUUGCUGUUUUUGUCAUUUACAAAAUCAUGAAACAUUCCAAGUUCGAUUAUUUUCUUGUUUGACUGAGUUUUGGGUGUACAUGAAUGCAUUAUGAACAUGAGUGGUGUUUGAGCAAGAUGAGAUCUUUUCAUAAAUAUGAAGAGUUUUUUUAAAUUUUCAUUUUUUUAGGGUGAAAAACCAGCAAUUAAUAUUCAAUUAGUUUGUGGGGAUGAUUUUUGAAACUCUUUAUUCCCUAAUUUAACUUUGAUGCAUAUAUUUUUCAUGGGUACUUUUUACUUGUAACAAUAUCUCGCUCCAUGCCUCUAUCCCAGAUCAAAGUUAACAAGGAGGUAAAAAGUAGAGUUGAAUUUUUUUUAAAGUGGGUAAAAGUAGAAUGUUAACUAUGAGCUAGGACAAAUGUUUCCAAUACAUUUUACCUCUGGAUUGACAACGGAUAUUCUGGACAAGUAUAUGACUGGCUAUCAACUGUUAAAUACAUUCUCUCUGGCUCUCUUAUCGUUUGGUCCUUGACACGUAACAUUGCAUGAAUGAUUGUUAUAAGUAUUGUGACUGCCAAUUGUAUAUCAUUUCCUAUAUCUGCAGGCUCUCUAUGUUUUUGAUUCAAGUAAUAUCUGGUGUUUCUCUGGUUAAAUAUUGUACUAACUUCCCUGUUGUUGAUUAAAUUGGACUUGUAGCAGUUAAAGGUCAACAUGAUUUGACAUGAAUCUGUUUCAGGCACUGUAUCCAUAUCCGUAGUUAUCAAUCUUAAUUUUGUCAAGAGUAUUAUCUUUUUCAUGUAUGACAGCUUGCGGUCCUUGUCAAGGGUUUCCCCGUCUUUCUGGAGCAGCUUGGUGAGCUGAUUUGACGAGCACGACACUUGAAGUUAUUACAGCUUUGCUCAAGUUCUGGAAGUCAUCUGUUGGUAUAAUUUCUUUGAUAAAUUUGUCUUUUGGUUGUAUGUAAGUUGCAUGGAUUAUAAUUUAUAUGUGAUAAUGAAGAUAUUCUUUUAGCUGCUUAGUGUUCUUUGAGAGCCACAGUUCAAGAAGACAUGAGUCAGAUGACACUGCUGGCCAUAGAGAAUACCCAGAGGAACUUAAGGGGGGAGGGGGAAUUCAGGAGAUAUAUUAUGAUUACAACUUGGAGGCUUAAAAAUUGGCAUUGACUCCCCAUCAUCACGACCAGCUGAAAAGAGGCUCACUGCAAUGGAAUAAUAGAGUUGUUUUCAUAUAACCCUAAUCUGGAAUCAGCUGCUGAAGCGAGUUUGUCAGCCCUUGAAAUUUUGACUGAGGAAUUUGCUGCUUGCCUUUGUUUACUCAGAGAAAAACAGAAUAGCAUACGGUUGCACGACUUCAGAAACUCGAAGCUGAAAAGCCUUAAGACCUCGAUAGUCGAUAUCUUGAAUAUUUUUCUACAUUACAGAAGCAUGGAGGUACGAUUCCAACUGUUUUAAGUGUCGAAAGAGAGAAAAGUUACCUGUGUUGUUGUGAUAUGCUUGCAAACCUGGAGCCUUCUUAUCAGGGAUUUUGUACCAAUUGAUUCAGCAAUUCACCAAAUGACUAGAGUUUUGUAUGUAAAAUUCCAAAUCAUUUGAUGAAUUGCUGAACAAUUAGUCUACAUCCCUGCUCUCAAAACACAUACAAGAGGAGAUUGUAUGUGCCCUGUGCCUGUAUGGCUGUAUUGCUGUAUGUUGCAGCAGUUUUAUGUCAAAUCCUGUGGCCAUAAUGCUGUAAAUGUAGUCGUAAAGUAUUUAUUCACCCAAAUCGCAAAAAUAUUAGAAAUAAAUCAGAAGGAUCUUUGCUGGAGAUUUUUUAUUUUUUUUAUUUUUAAGAUUUACUUUUCUCAAUACGACAUUGUUGGUGGUGUAUUUUUUGGGUUGACGUAAUAAAGAAAAGAAAAGAAAAGAAGAGAAA